AAUGAACGCUGGCGGCGUGCUUAACACAUGCAAGUCGAGCGAGGCGGAAGGGGGCAACUCCUUCCAGUCGAGCGGCGGACGGGUGAGUAACACGUGGGUAACCUGCCCGGAAGUGGGGAAUACCUCGGGGAAACUCGAGCUAAUACCGCAUGACAUCUUCGGGACGAAAGUCCUGACGAUCAAAGCGGGGUCGCAAGAUCUCGCGCUACCGGAUGGGCCCGCGCCCGAUUAGCUAGUUGGUGAGGUAACGGCUCACCAAGGCUUCGAUCGGUAACCGGCCUGAGAGGGCGAUCGGUCACACCGGAACUGAGACACGGUCCGGACUCCUACGGGAGGCAGCAGUGGGGAAUCUUGCGCAAUGGGCGAAAGCCUGACGCAGCAACGCCGCGUGGAGGAUGAAGGCCCUUGGGUUGUAAACU
rnacentral:rRNA from 1 species